CUACGGGUUGCAGCAGUGGGGAAUAUUGGGCAAUGGGCGAAAGCCUGACCCAGCAACGCCGCGUGAUUGAAGAAGGUCUUCGGAUUGUAAAAAUCUGUCCUUGGGGACGAAAAAAAUGACGGUACCCAAGGAGGAAGCCCCGGCUAACUACGUGCCAGCAGCCGCGGUAAUACGUAGGGGGCGAGCGUUGUCCGGAAUUACUGGGCGUAAAGGGUGCGCAGGCGGCGCUUUAAGUCAGAUGUGAAAUACCCAGGCUUAACCUGGGGGGUGCAUUUGAAACUGGAGUGCUUGAGUGCAGGAGAGGAAAGUGGAAUUCCUAGUGUAGCGGUGAAAUGCGUAGAUAUUAGGAGGAACACCAGUGGCGAAGGCGACUUUCUGGACUGUAACUGACGCUGAGGCACGAAAGCGUGGGGAGCAAACAGGAUUAGAUACCCGAGUAGUC
rnacentral:rRNA from 1 species